UCUGCAUGCCACUCAGGUAACUUUAUCCAGAGUCUUGCACCGCUCAACUCUGCCGCCAACCCCGUCAUCUACUGCAUGUUCUCCACACAUCUCUGCAUGCCACUCAGGAGAUUGCCGGUGUUGGGGUGGCUGUGUUGCGGCACUGUUCCGCCAGGCGGCGACUCCAGCACGCUCACAGACACGGCGGCUUCUAGUCAGCGUACAGCACAGUCUACUCGCCGUGUAAACACUGUGCAGCUGCACCUCUGAGACAACUUACUGCACUCACUGCACGCCCGGUCCUCCUUCUGUGUUACAGCUAUAUGUGAACUGACCCAUACUUUUUGGAACAUCGACUCCAAGCGCCGAGUCUGGAAAGCCACUACAGUGACUUCUCCGUCACACGUAUUAAAGGAAAAUCCAAACUGGACGUUUUACUUCGAGCUCCAACACGACUUUAGUAAACUGUCAUGGAUGGGGCGAACUACAUGCUCGGCGCAGAUACUGUCUUGGAAGCCAAAUAGCAGUAUUUUAAUGUCAUCUUUUCAAAUCAUUUUGCUGUUCUUCAUGUGUACUAAAACUAAAUUGUAGGAAUUCCAAUGGGAUAUAUGUCUUCGUAAAAGCCAUCAGUGAUACCAGUGUUUCUGUACCUUACCAAUAUAUGUUCUCUAUUCGUGUUUUAUAGCUAUAGUGUCUCAUCCCGAUUAUUUUUUAGGGCCAAUGUCUAUGAAAUUAAUUUUUUAAGAUUAUUCUAGACAGGUUUUAUGUGAAAUACUCACAUUUACCCAAACUGGAAGCAUCAAAAUAAAGGUUAAUAAAUAUUUCAAUCUAAGUACAAAGUUUACUUUCUGUGUAGGUAUAUUGAGUUAUAGUAACUAUGUUCUGCCCUAAGUACUAGAUUUUUGUAUCAACGUUUUAGAAAAAAGUUACCUGUCAUACCUAAUACCUCCAUAAGGAACUUCUUGUUCACAAACUGUUGAACAGUAACAGUGUUACACGUAACAUUAACUGCACACAGUAUGCUGUUCUGCCUCGAGAGUUUGUUGAGUUCUGCAACUCAUCACUGUUGACAACUUGUACAUCAAUGCCUGCUAAACCUCGAUUAAGUUGUCUUGUUAAGCUGCAUUAAGCUGGAUUUCAGGACUAAUGAUGUUUUGCUGCAGAACAUUGAAAUAUGUGACAUUUCUUUAUUUCUUUGGCUAUUGCCGCUGCUUUGUUACACAGGAACACUUAAAGAGUUUAAAGAAUAUAAAAAUAGAAUACAUUCUGGUUAACUGUGUUUAAUUGCAAUGCUUCCUGUGGUCAUCCACAGUCAAUCCAAAAUUUUUACAUUUCAGAGAUCAUAAAAAACCUAAAAGAAGGCAGACAUUUUUUUGUAUUUUAAACAUUUUAUUUUUUAUGCCAAUUGCAAGAAUUCUUCUCAAAAACAAUCAGUGGAUGUAAUAAAUAACUCUUCAGAUCCAAAAUCAUUUGAAAUCUCUCCAUAUAAGUAAAUAUUGUUCACGAAUGUUCAAUCUCCGGGCUUACUUGCAAUGAUUUUACAAGUGGACUCAGACACCACGUACUCUUAUUGUAUUACUGUAAGUCACAUAUUAUUUGUCAGUUGUAACUUAACAGGGUAUUUAUUAUAUUGCACUUAAUCUAAGUCAUUAAAACAUGAGUAUGUAUAUUUUAUUGUUGCGUGUCCAUUAAAAGACAUUAGUUUAAUGGUUUGGAAAUAAUAAAUUAUUUAUUAUUGUU
rnacentral:lncRNA from 1 species